rnacentral:SRP_RNA from 1 species
AGGUAAGCUAGGCUGGCGCGCUAGUCCUGCGUUGUUACCGUGAAUGGACUUUACACGGAGCCGAAGCCCAAGGAAGGACCAUUGUUGUUUUGUUGGUCCUGGCUGUCUUUGCCGACGGUUUGUCCUCUGGGAUUGCGCUUGCGUGAACCGGGUCAGGCCAGGAAUGGAGCAGCCCUAAGCGGAGGUUGUGAUGUUCAGAGGGUCGCAAGCCUGAGAAGCUGUCGGGGUAUACUAACGAAGCUUCAGUGUUUCGACUGCGGGCGUGCCCU